rnacentral:rRNA from 1 species
AGUGGCGGACGGGUGAGUAACGCGUUGGGACCUGCCCUUAAGUGGGGGACAACCCGGGGAAACUCGGGCUAAUACCGCAUACCCUCGAGAGAGGAAAGCUGCCUUAGGGUGGCGCUUAAGGAGGGCCCUGCGUCCGAUUAGCUGGUUGGUGGGGUAACGGCCUACCAAGGCGACGAUCGGUAACUGUUCUGAGAGGAAGGACAGUCACACUGGGACUGAGACACGGCCCAGACUCCUACGGGAGGCAGCAGUGGGGAAUAUUGGACAAUGGGGGGAACCCUGAUCCAGCGAUGCCGCGUGUGUGAAGAAGGCCUGCGGGUUGUAAAGCACUUUCACAGGUGAGGAGGGUACUGAUAUUGAAUAGGUAUUGGUAUUGACGUUAACCUGAGAAGCAGCACCGGCUGACUCUGUGCCAGCAGCCGCGGUAAUACAGAGGGUGCAAGCGUUAAUCGGAAUUACUGGGCGUAAAGGGUGUGUAGGUGGUUGAAUCAGUUCACUGUGAAAGUUCCGGGCUUAACCUGGAAAGGCCGGUGGAUACUGUUUAACUAGAGGACAGGAGAGGGCAGAGGAAUUUCCGGUGUAGCGGUGAAAUGCGUAGAUAUCGGAAGGAACACCAGUCGCGAAGGCGUCUGUCUGGCCUGGCCCUGACACUGAGACACGAAGGCGUGGGUAGCGAUCAGGAUUAGAUACCCUGGUAGUC